rnacentral:rRNA from 1 species
UGGGGAAUAUUGGACAAUGGGCGAAAGCCUGAUCCAGCCAUGCCGCGUGUGUGAAGAAGGCCUUAUGGUUGUAAAGCACUUUAAGCGAGGAGGAGGGUACUGGUAUUAAUACUACCAGGUACUGGACGUUACUCGCAGAAUAAGCACCGGCUAACUCUGUGCCAGCAGCCGCGGUAAUACAGAGGGUGCGAGCGUUAAUCGGAUUUACUGGGCGUAAAGCGUGCGUAGGCGGCUAAUUGAGUCGGAUGUGAAAUCCCCGAGCUUAACUUGGGAAUUGCAUUCGAUACUGGUUAGCUAGAGUGUGGGAGAGGAUGGUAGAAUUCCAGGUGUAGCGGAGAAAUGCGUAGAGAUCUGGAGGAAUACCGAUGGCGAAGGCAGCCAUCUGGCCUAACACUGACGCUGAGGUACGAAAGCAUGGGGAGCAAACAGG